rnacentral:tRNA from 1 species
CAGGGGUUAGUUUAUUUAAAAUAUCGGUUUUGGGAAUCGAUGACAGAAAAAUUUUCUACCCUUGA